rnacentral:lncRNA from 1 species
UCAUUCGAUAACUGUUGUUUGUCUCUAUUGAUACGGGAACGUACAGUACUGUCAUGAACUGGGGAGAAAUUCCUUGAUUAAGCAAUACCAACCUAGGGAUAGGGGGCAGGACGAUCAAUUGUUUUUUCUUCUAUUCGAUAAUGCAUUGCUAAUUGCUAGGGGAGGCUAGGGAUAGCAAGCUGGUAAUUAGUAAUAGGCUCUUUUCGCCGAGGGAUCGGGUUAAGGGUAGGCCAAGAAAGUUUGCAUAACAAUUAGAUAAUCAAGCACAUUAAACAAGAGGAGUAGAUAAGACAGAGUGAAUAAGAUGAAAUUGUCAACCCCCAACAACUCCAUUCAUCCAUAGUCUUUUUUGUCAAUUGAAUCAAAUACUUUGCAUGUUUAUUUUCUGUCCUUGCAUUCUACACAAUUAAUUUUUUUCUACAAGUCUUACAAUUUUGAUUCACACGAACGAUAAG